rfam:Rozella allomycis CSF55 unplaced genomic scaffold scaffold_3485, whole genome shotgun sequence.
UUCAAGGCUUCUUUAGAAGCCAUUAAAAUAAAAGAUAUACAAUUG